rnacentral:lncRNA from 1 species
UAUACAAAAAGGACAUAUUUGGCUAGAUACUACAAAUUUAGAAUUUAUUGCGAUGUUCAGAUUUAUUCAAAGUCGUUCCCUUAAGUAAAAAUUUGCAGUGUAAUACAAUGAUUAUUGGUAAUUUAUAUCAAUAACGGUUAAUCAAAUGUUUCAGUGAAUAUAAUUAAUAUGGAACGUUAAUGAGUUUGGCCAUAAUAUGUAAUUCAAAACAGUUCAGGAUCGGGUCUGCUAUUACAGUACUCAUACAAAUACAACGUAAGAAAUAAUAGAUUUGUUGCUCCGAUGUAUAAUUUUAGUUAUAGACCUGAACGACCUACAACCUAUCGAUAAACCGUACACAAAUGAUGUCAACAAAUAAAUUUCAAAGCAUCCCACUUUCAAAUAUUCGGCU